UGGUAGAUGCACCUUGAUCUUCAACUCCUCUGGUAGGUUAACACCCACCGGAGGUUUUCUUU
rnacentral:sRNA from 1 species